UGGGGAAUUUUGGACAAUGGGCGAAAGCCUGAUCCAGCAAUGCCGCGUGUGUGAAGAAGGCCUUCGGGUUGUAAAGCACUUUUGUCCGGAAAGAAAUCCUUGGCUCUAAUACAGUCGGGGGAUGACGGUACCGGAAGAAUAAGCACCGGCUAACUACGUGCCAGCAGCCGCGGUAAUACGUAGGGUGCAAGCGUUAAUCGGAAUUACUGGGCGUAAAGCGUGCGCAGGCGGUUUGCUAAGACCGAUGUGAAAUCCCCGGGCUCAACCUGGGAACUGCAUUGGUGACUGGCAGGCUAGAGUAUGGCAGAGGGGGGUAGAAUUCCACGUGUAGCAGUGAAAUGCGUAGAGAUGUGGAGGAAUACCGAUGGCGAAGGCAGCCCCCUGGCCAAGUACUGACGCUCAUGCACGAAAGCGUGGGGAGCAAACNGGAUUAAUNCCCUGGUAGUCCACGCCCUAAANGAUGUCAACUAGUUGUUGGGGAUUCAUUUCCUUAGUAACGUAGCUAACGCGUGAAGUUGACCGCCUGGGGAGUACGGUCGCAAGAUUAAAAUUAAAU
rnacentral:rRNA from 1 species